UUGGCUCAGGGGUAGAGCGCCUGACUCACAUUCAGGAGGUCACUGGUUCAAAUCCAGUA
rnacentral:tRNA from 1 species